rnacentral:rRNA from 1 species
UACGUAGGGGGCAAGCGUUGUCCGGAUUUAUUGGGCGUAAAGAGCGUGUAGGCGGCCAUACAGGUCAGCUGUGAAAACUCGAGGCUCAACCUCGAGACGUCGGUUGAAACCGUAUAGCUAGAGUCCGGAAGAGGAGAGUGGAAUUCCCGGUGUAGCGGUGAAAUGCGCAGAUAUCGGGAAGAACACCCGUGGCGAAGGCGGCUCUCUGGGACGGUACUGACGCUGAGACGCGAAAGCGUGGGGAGCGAACAGG